AGUGGCGCACGGGUGAGUAACACGUGGGAACAUACCUUAUAGUACGGAAUAACUGCGGGAAACUGUAGCUAAUACCGUAUAUUCCAGUAAUGGGAAAGAUUUAUCGCUAUAAGAUUGGCCCGCGCAAGAUUAGCUUGUUGGUGAGGUAAAAGCUCACCAAGGCUUCGAUCUUUAGCUGGUUUGAGAGGAUGAUCAGCCACACUGGGACUGAGACACGGCCCAGACUCCUACGGGAGGCAGCAGUAGGGAAUAUUGGACAAUGGGGGCAACCCUGAUCCAGCAAUGCAGCGUGAGUGACGAAGGCCUUAGGGUUGUAAAACUCUUUCAUCGGUGAGGAUAAUGACAGUAGCCGAAGAAGAAGGACCGGCUAAUUCCGUGCCAGCAGCCGCGGUAAUACGGAAGGUCCUAGCGUUGUUCGGAAUUACUGGGCGUAAAGCGCGUGUAGGCGGAACAGAAAGUUAGAAGUGAAAUCCCUGGGCUCAACCUAGGAAUUGCUUUUAAAACUUCUGUUCUGGAAUUCAGGAGAGGAAAAUGGAAUUUCCAGUGUAGAGGUGAAAUUCGUAGAUAUUGGAAGGAACACCAGUGGCGAAGGCGAUUUUCUGGACUGAUAUUGACGCUGAGAUGCGAAGGCAUGGGUAGCAAACGGGAUUAGAUACCCCGGUAGUCCAUGCAGUAAACGAUGGGUGCUAGUCGUCGGACUUUUGUUCGGUGUCGUAGCUAACGCGUUAAGCACCCCGCCUGGGGAGUAC
rnacentral:rRNA from 1 species